UGCAGGAACGUCAUUUCCUUGUUACCGGAAGCACAGGGCACAGCCGCACUCGGGUAGAGACUGUGCUGCAUUGUCGCCAGGGUUUUCAGGUAGAGAUGUAGUCUAACGAGUGGUAACUAUCUAAAAGCAUGGAAGACCUGACUGACUUCUUGAGACGAAGAGAAGUCUCUGAGGAAAUAAUACAAACCCUGGAGAAUGAGAAGUGAAUUAUUUUUCCCUCUGUAGAUCGAUGCCAGUGUUAUAAAUCUGAUGUCAGAUGAGGAGCUGAAGACUUAUCUACCAUCAUAUGGUGAUCGCCUUGCAGUAUUUGGAUUUUGCAGACGGCAGGGCAACAGCCGAAAGUCGACGCUUUUUGAACGUCUGAAAACCAAAUUGUCCAAAAGAAAAACAUCUGAAGAUGGCAGCAGCACAGCGCAAGAACAUUCAGAACCAACCCAUAAAAGAAAUGCUCUGAAGACAAAGAGAAAAAUAGAAAUAGGAUGGAUGCAUUAUGAUGAAGAUGCUGAUGUUUUCAAGCAGGUUAGAGCUAGACGAGGAGGAGGGACAAGAAAAAUGGUAAUUUGCAAGGACGCUAAGAAAAGUGACAUAUUACAGGUUGCAAAAGAUCUGUUCUUUCCAAAUGGAGGAAAUGUUCGGGGGGCCCUUAACAGAUUUUGAAUGUGAUCUAAAGGAUUAUCAAGAGAUGACAGUUGAUGGUGGAUUAACAGUUGGAGAAAUGUACAAUGUUACAAAACUAAAUAUCCUUAGGUUUUACCUGACCACAAAAAAAACCCAAAGCAGCCCAGGUUUGCAAUCAUCUUCUCAAGACCAAAACUCCUCUUCUUUUACUGUU